UACGUAGGGUGCAAGCGUUAAUCGGAAUUACUGGGCGUAAAGCGUGCGCAGGCGGUUCGCUAAGACAGAUGUGAAAUCCCCGGGCUUAACCUGGGAACUGCAUUUGUGACUGGCAGGCUAGAGUAUGGCAGAGGGGAGUAGAAUUCCACGUGUAGCAGUGAAAUGCGUAGAGAUGUGGAGGAAUACCGAUGGCGAAGGCAGCCCCCUGGGCCAAUACUGACGCUCAUGCACGAAAGCGUGGGGAGCAAACAGG
rnacentral:rRNA from 1 species